rnacentral:tRNA from 1 species
GCGCUGAGCGGUGGCGGCUCGCGCACGGACUUCUGAUCCGUCGGUCGCAGGUUCGAAUCCUGCCGGGCGCACC